AUUGAACGCUGGCGGCAGGCUUAACACAUGCAAGUCGAGCGAGCGGCGGACGGGUGAGUAAUGUCUGGGAAACUGCCUGAUGGAGGGGGAUCACUACUGGAAACGGUAGCUAAUACCGCAUACCAUCAGAUGUGCCCAGAUGGGAUUAGCUUGUAGGUGGGGUAAUGGCUCACCUAGGCGACGAUCCCUAGCUGGUCUGAGAGGAUGACCAGCCACACUGGAACUGGUACACGGUCCAGACUCCUACGGUAGGCAGCAGUGGGGAAUAUUGCACAAUGGGCGCAAGCCUGAUGCAGCCAUGCCGCGUGUGUGAAGAAGGCCGUCGGGUUGUAAAGCACUUUCAGCGGGGAGGCGUUACUCGCAGAAGAAGCACCGGCUAACUCCGUGCCAGCAGCCGCGGUAAUUC
rnacentral:rRNA from 1 species